CUGACCACAGGAGGACCCAAAAGGAGCCAGUCUUUCAAAUCACUAGAUCAGUAGGAGAAAGGGAGGAAGCAGGAUAAGGAGCCUAUGUGCCAUAAGGUCUCGCUGAUCCUCCUGUACCAGAUCCAUUUUGUGCACCAAGCAAAAGAUUUUGGCAUCUGGAGAAUUCUGCAGAAUGGCUUCCAGGCAUGAUUGGUUGUGUGCAGCUUCCCAAGAAAGUCUCAGUCACCAGUUGCCUAGAAGAAAACAGUAAUGUUUUGUCCUGAACAAAAAAAUCAAGGAGUGGCAUCAACAACAUGGUGGAAUAAAACACGUUGGAA